CUGCUAUCGAGGUUCGACUAAGCCAUGCGAGUUGAAUGUCGCAAGACAUAGCGUACUGCUCAGUAACACGUGGAUAACCUACCCUUGGGUCGGGGAUAAACCCGGGAAACUGGGUAUAAUACUCGAUAAUUCUCGGCUGCUGGAAUGCACCGAGGAUGAAAGCUCCGGCGCCCAUGGAUGGGUCUGCGGCCUAUCAGGUAGUAGUGGGUGUAACGGACCUACUAGCCUACAACGGGUACGGGUUGUGAGAGCAAGAGCCCGGAGAUGGAUUCUGAGACACGAAUCCAGGCCCUACGGGGUGCAGCAGGCGCGAAACCUUUACAAUGCUGGAAACAGCGAUAGGGGGACCUCGAGUGCCAUCGUACAACGGUGGCUGUCGUUAUGCCUAAAAAGCAUGAUAUAGCAAGGGCCGGGCAAGACCGGUGCCAGCCGCCGCGGUAACACCGGCGGCUCGAGUGGUAACCGCUAUUAUUGGGUUUAAAGGGUCUGUAGCCGGCCGGAUU
rnacentral:rRNA from 1 species